AUCUGAAACAAGGUUCCCAGAGAUUCCAAAUUUUUUGGAGUAUUUAGAAAACACCACUCUCUGAGUCUUGCCUUCUAGGGACCAGUUUGAAUUUUUAGUGUGUAGCUUCUGAAGGGAUGGACUAAUUGGAUACUUUGCAGCUGGAAGACAUUUUCUGAUAUACUUUCUAUCUAAAAGGUACUUUAUUUGUUUCCUUUUAUUAGAUACUGUGAAUAAAGGUACAAUAAAAAUAGAUGUGUGGCAAUAUAUUUAGCAAAAGGAUUCCAAUUUUUUUACAUAUAUACCCAGAGUUAUUAUUACUGGAUUGUAUGGCAUUUUUUUUUUUAC
rnacentral:lncRNA from 1 species